GACUGAAGACUUUUAUCAUUCAGUUUUUGGUAAAAAGAGAAAAAAAAAAGAAAAAGAUGAUAAAUCAAGCAAAUGAAAAUUAUUGAGUUUCUUUUCUUUUAUCAUGCGAUUAAUUGAUUUGUUGUUUAUUGUGUCAGGGGUAUAUUUAGCACAUAGAAAUAACCUAAAACAAGUUCAGUCUGCUUUAACUUCAAACGGUCUUAAGGUGUAUGAAAAUAAAUGGUUUCAACUGUAAAUAACACUUUCCAAGUUUAGGCGUUUGAUCAAGCUAAGAGAAGUUUUAUUUGU